rfam:Dipodomys ordii contig_56862, whole genome shotgun sequence.
GGUGGCUCAGUGGUAGAGUGCUUGCCUUGCAUGCAUGAGGUCAUGGGUUCGAUUCCUGAGCACUA